rnacentral:rRNA from 1 species
AAUGGACGAAAGUCUGACGCAGCCAUGCCGCGUGCAGGAUGACUGCCCUAUGGGUUGUAAACUGCUUUUGUACGGGAAUAAACCCUUCUACGUGUAGGAGGCUGAAGGUACCGUAAGAAUAAGCACCGGCUAACUCCGUGCCAGCAGCCGCGGUAAUACGGAGGGUGCAAGCGUUAUCCGGAUUUAUUGGGUUUAAAGGGUCCGCAGGCGGAUCGUUAAGUCAGUGGUGAAAGCCCACAGCUCAACUGUGGAAUUGCCAUUGAUACUGGCGGUCUUGAGUAUGUAUGAAGUUGGCGGAAUGUGUGGUGUAGCGGUGAAAUGCUUAGAUAUCACACAGAACACCGAUUGCGAAGGCAGCUGGCUAAUACAUAACUGACGCUGAGGGACGAAAGUGUGGGGAUCAAA